rnacentral:rRNA from 1 species
UACGGGGGGGGCAAGCGUUGUUCGGAAUUACUGGGCGUAAAGGGCUCGUAGGCGGCCAACUAAGUCAGACGUGAAAUCCCUCAGCUUAACUGGGGAACUGCGUCUGAUACUGGAUGGCUUGAGUGUGGGAGAGGGAUGCGGAAUUCCAGGUGUAGCGGUGAAAUGCGUAGAUAUCUGGAGGAACACCGGUGGCGAAGGCGGCAUCCUGGACCAACACUGACACUGAUGAGCGAAAGCCAGGGGAGCAGACGGG